rnacentral:rRNA from 1 species
GACGAACGCUGGCGGCGUGCUUAACACAUGCAAGUCGAACGGAAAGGCCCUGCUUUUGUGGGGUGCUCGAGUGGCGAACGGGUGAGUAACACGUGAGUAACCUGCCCUUGACUUUGGGAUAACUUCAGGAAACUGGGGCGAAUACCGGAUAGGAGCUCCUGCUGCAUGGUGGGGGUUGGAAAGUUUCGGCGGUUGGGGAUGGUCUCGCGGCUUAUCAGCUUGUUGGGGGGGUAGUGGCUUACCAAGGCUUUGACGGGUAGCCGGCCUGAGAGGGUGACCGGGCACAUUAGGACUGAGGUAGGGCCCAGACGGCUACGGGAGGCAGCAGGGGGGAAUAUUGCACAACGGGGGGAAGCGUGAUGCAGCAACGCCGGGUGCGGGAUGACGGGCUUCGGGUGGUAAACCGAUGUCGACUGUGAUGAAGCGGGAGUGACGGUAAUGGGUAAAGAAGCACCGGCUAACUACGUG